rnacentral:rRNA from 1 species
GGGGAAUAUUGGACAAUGGGCGAAAGCCUGAUCCAGCAAUGCCGCGUGAGUGAUGAAGGCCUUAGGGUUGUAAGGCUCUUUUACCCGGGAAGAUAAUGACUGUACCGGGAGAAUAAGCCCCGGCUAACUCCGUGCCAGCAGCCGCGGUAAUACGGAGGGGGCUAGCGUUGUUCGGAAUUACUGGGCGUAAAGCGUACGUAGGCGGUGAUUCAAGUCAGAGGUGAAAGCCCGGAGCUCAACUCCGGAAUUGCCUUUGAAACUAGAUCGCUUGAACGUCGGAGAGGUGAGUGGAAUUCCGAGUGUAGAGGUGAAAUUCGUAGAUAUUCGGAAGAACACCAGUGGCGAAGGCGGCUCACUGGACGACUGUUGACGCUGAGGUACGAAAGCGUGGGGAGCAAA